AAGGCUUGGCAGAUGAGUAAGGAAAAAGAAGACUGAUGGUGGAUUCCCUGAUUAUAGAGAGAAGAGAAAGUUAGGUGGGGAUAUGCAAUGAGGCAAUAAUUUUCUUGGCAGCUGAAUUAUUUUGGAUGAGAAAUAUACAUGACUUAUAUGGUGUCUUUAAGGAGUGAUUUUGGAGUUUAGAAAUUCAGGAUAACAGUGUAUGUAAAUCUGGUAGAUUAAGAGAUAUUAGUCACCAUAUCCACACACACGAGCACUCAGUAGCAGAAAAGUCUGAGUUUAUAAGCUAGUGUGGCCAAAGACUUUGGCAACACUGCACUGGCUAGCAGAUGGGCAGUGUGAGGAGGGCCUGGCAUUCUAGUGUCACAGCUUCAUGCGUGAAGAUGAGUCAGGUUUUCAGUUCCUGGUCUCCUUGGAGUAUGACAGAGCAAUGAAAAGUGAGAAAUGGUUUUACACUAUGAAGCAAUUCUGUACUAUUUGUUUCGAUUUCAUCCACUAUGCAAAUUGUUAAAAAUGCUUAAAAUUUGCUUUUCAGGAGCUGGCCAAUAUUUUGCAGAAGACAAUUUCUUGUUUUACUCUUGGAAAAGAGAUAUACUAGUACUUUAGCAGCCCUUAAAGUUCUUGAUUAUCCUUGCAUCCUUCCGUGGAAAACUUCAUCUUGGCACUGACUGGAUACUGUUUGUUUGAGCUACUUUCCUACCAUCAAUACAACCACAUAGUGGGUUCAGAAUUUUAGAGCAAAUGGGAACUUUAUCUGGCUGAAAUUACCCAAGGAGUGUUAAAAAUAUUCUGAUGGCUUGCUCCCUCCUUCAGAGACUCUGACCAAUUAAAUCUGGGCUGUAAUUCCUUACAGGGACCUGCAAAACAUUAUUUUACUCCCUUUUAGUAAGGAGGAAACCAAGGCUUAGAAGAUUACUUACUUUGUCCCGAAUCACACUCCAGGUAA